UGUGUGGUGAGAGGGAGUGGUCUGUGUGGAGUGGAUAGUGUUUCUGACAGGGUCAGCUUGGCUUAUUGUAGCUGCAGGUGGCCCUGAUGUGGCUCAGGUAGUGAUGUGGCUCAGGUAGUGAUGUGGCUCAGGUAGGGGCCUGCCUGAUGUGGCUCAGGUAGGGUCUGAUGUGGCUCAGGUAGGGGCCUGAUGUGGCUCAGGUAGGGUCUGAUGUGGCUCAGGUAGGGGCCUGAUGUGGCUCAGGUAGUGAUGUGGCUCAGGUAGGGUCUGAUGUGGCUCAGGUAGGGGUCUGAUGUGGCCUGAUGUCGUUCAGGUAGGGGCCUGAUAUGGCUCAGGUAGGGUCUGAUGUGGCUCAGGUAGGGCCUGAUGUGGUCUGAUGUGGUUCAGGUAGGGGCCUGAUGUGGCUCAGGUAGGGUCUGAUGUGGCUCAGGUAGGUAGUGAUCUGGCUCAGGUAGGUAGUGAUGUGGCUCAGGUAGGGGCUGACAUUGCUUAGGUAGGGCUCAGGUAGGGGUCUGAUGUGGUCUGAUGUGGUUCAGGUAGGGGCCUGAUGUGGCUCAGGUAGGGUCUGAUGUGGCUCAGGUAGGUAGUGAUCUGGCUCAGGUAGGGUCUGAUGUGGCUCAGGUAGGUAGUGAUGUGGCUCAGGUAGGGGCUGAUAUUGCUCAGGUAGGGCUCAGGUAGGGGUCUGAUGUGGCUCAGGUAGGGCCCGAUUUGGCUCAGGUAGGUAGUGAUGUGGCUCAGGUAGGGUCUGAUCUGACUCAGGUAGUGAUGUGGCUCAGGUAGUGAUCUGGCUCAGGUAGGGUCUGAUCUGACUCAGGUAGUGAUGUGGCUCAGGUAGUGAUGUGGCUCAGGUAGUGAUCUGGCUCAGGUAGUGAUGUGGCUCAGGUAGUGAUCUGGCUCAGGUAGUGAUUUGGCUCAGGUAGGGCCUGAUGUGGCUCAGGUAGUGAUGUGGCUCAGGAAGAGCCUAAUAUGGCAGCUGGCAUCACAGCAGAUAGCAGGAGAAAGCAGAGACCCAGAGAGGCAGUGUUCUCCCCAUGGUGUUUUUAUUAUGUGCUAAUAAACUUUGAUCAGAACA